rnacentral:misc_RNA from 1 species
GAUGAAGAACGUAGUGAAAUGCGAUAAGUAAUGCGAAUUGCAGAAUUUCCGUGAGUCAUCGAAUCUUUGAACGCACAUUGCGCCCAUUGGUAUUCCGAUGGGCAUGCCUGUUCGAGCGUCAUUAUCCCCCCUCAAACCUUCGGUUUGGUGUUGGACCGAUGUUGUGUAAUGAACAACUGGUCUCAAAGACAAUGACGGCGUCCGUGGGACCCUCGGUGCAACGAGCUUUUAGGAGCACGCGCCGAGUUGCAAGGACCUUCCGGGCCGGUCUCCUUUUACUAUUUUACAAGGUUGACCUCGGAUCAGGUAGGAAUACCCGCUGAACUUAAGCAUAUCAAUAAGCGGAGGA